rnacentral:lncRNA from 1 species
UCUCCUCCCUGGAGUGACCGCAGUUAAGGAACGGCUGAGGGGAGGAGGUGAGAAGGGGCCACCAGGCCUCCUGAGACCCCCUGCCCUUGAACCACAACCACGGCACCACCGGCUCCCUCUGCAAGCUGGAACCAUGGCUCUGUCUGCCUCACCCCAACGGCUGAGUCUGGCUGGCAAGACAGGAGGCAAGAAGACACUGAUGUAGAAGGAGAGUCAGGAAGUCACAGAAAUCAGCCCGUGUCCCCUUCACCUAUGCCCGAUGGGCCCAUCGCAGCACAGAGCACCCGGGAGACCAGGACGCUGACUGGAGAACAGCCCAGGGACCUCGUC